AUACUUACCUGGCAGAGACACCAUGAUCAUGAAGGUGGUUUGCUCAGGGCGAGGUAUUGCCAUUGCACUUCGGCGUACUGACCUCUGAUGUAAUGAAUGUCACCUUGUUUAAUUAAUAAUACUCUAUAUGCGGUAGUUUUAUUUGUGAGGA
rnacentral:snRNA from 1 species